rnacentral:rRNA from 1 species
UACGUAGGGGGGCGAGCGUUGUCCGGAAUUAUUGGGCGUAAAGAGCUCGUAGGCGGUUUGUCGCGUCUGCUGUGAAAACUCGGGGCUUAACCCCGGGCCUGCAGUGGGUACGGGCAGACUAGAGUGCGGUAGGGGAGACUGGAAUUCCUGGUGUAGCGGUGAAAUGCGCAGAUAUCAGGAGGAACACCGGUGGCGAAGGCGGGUCUCUGGGCCGUAACUGACGCUGAGGAGCGAAAGCAUGGGGAGCGAACAGG